rnacentral:rRNA from 1 species
UACGUAGGGGGCAAGCGUUGUCCGGAUUUAUUGGGCGUAAAGAGCGUGUAGGCGGCCAUACAGGUCAGCUGUGAAAACUCGAGGCUCAACCUCGAGACGUCGGUUGAAACCGUAUGGCUAGAGUCCGGAAGAGGAGAGUGGAAUUCCCGGUGUAGCGGUGAAAUGCGCAGAUAUCGGGAAGAACACCCGUGGCGAAGGCGGCUCUCUGGGACGGUACUGACGCUGAGACGCGAAAGCGUGGGGGAGCGAACAGG